ACUGGCCUAGUUCAAGGUUCUGUACAGCAGGACAGGCUGAAGAGCUCACUGCUCUCAGGAUUGCGUGAAGUUCAUGUUGCUGGUGCCAGCUUUAAACUCUACUUCAACAGCACAUCAGUCCCUGCAGAAUCCCUACAAUGUGGAAACAGGCCAUUCAGCCCAUCAAGGCCACAUUGAUACUCUGAAGAGCAUCCCACCUUUGGUACAGGGUAGGUGUAUACCUGUAACCCUGCAUUUUCCAAGGCUAAUCCACUUCGCCAGCAUGUCCCUAAGCUCUAAGCUCUACAGAGCAAUUUAGCAUGGCCAAUCCACCUAACCUGCACAUCUUUGGACUGGGAGGAAACCAGACCACCAGGAGGAAACCAAAGCAGACAUGAAGAGAAUAUGCCAAUACCACACAAACAGCUGCCCGACGAUGGAAUUGAACCCACAUACCUGGCGCUAAGGCAACAGUGCUAACUGCUGAGGCAUUGUGCUACCCCAAUUACAAAAGUUACAUAUAGUUACAAAAGUCUGAGAAGCAAUAAUACAGCAAUUAUUCAGGAUCCUGACUCCUUCAAUUAUGAACAUGCCAGGAUCAAGGAGACUAUUUCCGAUAGUGUUCAGAGUCUAUGCAACAGGUCCACAACUGUAAUCCAUGUUAAAAUGCUUAACAUCUGUAUAUAAUAACUGGUCACCAGUAUGGCUGAAACCGUGAGGUAGUAUGAUGACUCACAGAUAAGAACUUACUGCAACCUUGUCGCACAGUAACUUGUCAUUACUCAGUAAGAUGCAUUUCAAUG